UGGGGAAUAUUGCACAAUGGGCGCAAGCCUGAUGCAGCCAUGCCGCGUGUAUGAAGAAGGACUUCGGGUUGUAAAGUACUUUCAGCGGGGAGGAAGGGAGUAAAGUUAAUACCUUUACUCAAUGACGUUACCCGCAGAAGAAGCACCGGCUAACUCCGUGCCAGCAGCCGCGGUAAUACGGAGGGUGCAAGCAUUAAUCGGAAUUACUGGGCGUAAAGCGCACGCAGGCGGUUGAUUGAGUCAGAUGUGAAAUCCCCGGGCUUAACCCGGGAAUUGCAUCUGAUACUGGUCAGCUAGAGUCUUGUAGAGGGGGGUAGAAUUCCAUGUGUAGCGGUGAAAUGCGUAGCGAUGUGGAGGAAUACCGGUGGCGAAGGCGGCCCCCUGGACAAAGACUGACGCUCAGGUGCGAAAGCGUGGGGAGCAAACAGG
rnacentral:rRNA from 1 species